AGAGUUUGAUCCUGGCUCAGGAUGAACGCUGGCGGCGUACCUAACGCAUGCAAGUCGAACGGGGGAGUUUUAGCAAUAAGACUCUCUAGUGGCAAACGGGUGAGUAACACGUGGGCAAUCUACCUUCAAGUGGGGAAUAACGAACCGAAAGGUUCGCUAAUACCGCAUGACUUCGAAAGAACAAAGGGACGAGGAAUCGUCUCGCUGGAAGAGGAGCCUGCGAUCGAUCAGGUAGUUGGUGAGGUAACGGCUCACCAAGCCGAUGACCGAUAGCUGUUCUGAGAGGAAGACCAGCCACACUGGGACUGCGAGACGGCCCAGACUCCUACGGGAGGCAGCAGCGAGGAAUAUUGCGCAAUGGAGGGAACUCUGACGCAGUAACGCCGCGUGGGGGAAGAAGACCUUCGGGUUGUAAACCUCUUUUGAUAGAGACGAGUGAGGACGGUAUCUAUAGAAUCAGUCUCGGCUAACUACGUGCCAGCAGCCGCGGUAAGACGUAGGAGGCGAGCGUUAUCCGGAUUCACUGGGCGUAAAGCGCAUGUAGGCGGAUGCCUAAGUCAUAUGUUAAAGCCCCUGGCUCAACUGGGGGAGGUCAUGUGAGACUAGGCGUCUUGAGGGCAGGAGAGGCACGUGGAACUCCCGGUGUAGCGGUGGAAUGCGUAGAGAUCGGGAAGAACACCCGUGGCGAAGGCGACGUGCUGGGCUGUGCCUGACGCUGAGAUGCGAAAGUGUGGGGAGCAAACGGGAUUAGAUACCCCGGUAGUCCACACCGUAAACGAUGAACCCUAGGUGUGGGCGGGUUAAACCGUCCGUGCCGCAGCCAACGCGUUAAGGGUUCCGCCUGGGGACUAUGAGCGCAAGCUUAAAACUCAAAGGAAUUGACGGGGGCCCGCACAAGCAGCGGAGCGUGCGGUUCAAUUCGAUGCGACACGAAGAACCUUACCAGGGUUUGACAUGGAUGUGGUAGGGAAGGGAAACUGGACCGACU
rnacentral:rRNA from 1 species